rnacentral:rRNA from 1 species
UGGAUAACUUCGGGAAACCGGAGCUAAUACCGGAUAAUAUAUUGAACCGCAUGGUUCAAUAGUGAAAGACGGUUUUGCUGUCACUUAUAGAUGGAUCCGCGCCGCAUUAGCUAGUUGGUAAGGUAACGGCUUACCAAGGCAACGAUGCGUAGCCGACCUGAGAGGGUGAUCGGCCACACUGGAACUGAGACACGGUCCAG